GGACCCGCACAAGUAGUGGAGCAUGUGGUUUAAUUCGAAGAUACGCGCAGAACCUUACCAACACUUGACAUGUUCGUCGCGACUUUAAGAGAUUAAAGUUUUCGGUUCGGCCGGACGAAACACAGGUGCUGCAUGGCUGUCGUCAGCUCGUGUCGUGAGAUGUUGGGUUAAGUCCCGCAACGAGCGCAACCCUCACUUUUAGUUGCCAUCAUUUAGUUGGGCACUCUGAAAGAACUGCCAGUGAUAAGCUGGAGGAAGGUGGGGAUGACGUCAAGUCCUCAUGGCCCUUACGUGUUGGGCUACACACGUGCUACAAUGGCCGGUACAGAGGGCAGCCACACCGCAAGGUG
rnacentral:rRNA from 1 species